AACAUUUUGGCGACGUCGCUAUGAAGCAGCAGAAAAGAGGUCCCAGCUCUUGGAAACUAAAGUCAGCAACCUUGAAGAAUGCCUGCAUUCAAAGAUGCUAUUAAUGGAACCAGCCAUAGAAAGAUUCCUGCAAGCUGCAUCCCGUUUGCCUGAGACCACAACUGCAUCAUCAUCUUCAAUGGCCUUGGACAUUGCGGAUGAUGGUCCUACCCACACGUCUUCCGUAUCAGAGGCGUCCCUCUCGCAGGCCAGCAGCCC